rnacentral:rRNA from 1 species
GAUGAACGCUGGCGGCGUGCCUAAUACAUGCAAGUCGAGCGAACGGACGAGAAGCUUGCUUCUCUGAUGUUAGCGGCGGACGGGUGAGUAACACGUGGAUAACCUACCUAUAAGACUGGGAUAACUUCGGGAAACCGGAGCUAAUACCGGAUGAUAUUUUGAACCGAAUGGUUCAAAAGUGAAAGACGGUCUUGCUGUCACUUAUAGAUGUAUCCGCGCUGCAUUAGCUAGUUGGUAAGGUAACGGCUUACCAAGGCAACGAUGCAUAGCCGACCUGAGAGGGUGAUCGGCCACACUGGAACUGAGACACGGUCAAGACUCCUACGGGAGGCAGCAGUAGGGAAUCUUCCGCAAUGGGCGAAAGCCUGACGGAGCAACGCCGCGUGAGUGAUGAAGGUCUUCGGAUCGUAAAACUCUGUUAUUAGGGAAGAACAUAUGUGUAAGUAACUGUGCACAUCUUGACGGUACCUAAUCAGAAAGCCACGGCUAACUACGUG